GAUUUAUUCCAGGCAAUUGAUCAGGAAGUCAAAAGUGAGAUUGAAGAAGCUGUUGAACGUUCUAAGACAGACCCAGAGAUCGCGCUUGACGAGCUUUAUAAAGAUAUCUACAGUGGUGGGAUGGAAGGCACUGGUAUACGGGGGUGUGACCCCAUGACUGAGGGUACACAUAAUUGAGGUAAAUACAGACUAAUUGGACCAUUAUAUAAAGAUAAUUUAGAGGUUGUCAGUACUAACAAGUAUGCAUGCCUAUAGUGUGAUUGUAUACAAUGUGAUGAUAACAUAGCUAUAUUUAUAUCUGUUCUGUAUUUUGUCAGAAUAUUGCUUGCAAUAAAGCUGCUCAGGCUGAUACGAAGGCCGGUUAGCGAACUUUCUAAAGUUGACCAUUGAAUAGCAUAACCAUAGUCUGUCAAGAUAUGAUGGUCUGGAAGCCUGGCAAACUUCAAAACUACAAAAUAGAAGAUGGUGAACUGUAUCUCACCGUGCACAAAUCCUUUGUCUCAACUUUAUUAAAUAUUAGAAUGUUAGGGUUUGUAAUCCAAGUGAGAAUAUAUACAUUUUAAGACCUGACCAGGAACGACUGCGAAAAUGCAGCACAAGGUCCUCUGGUAGGAAUUGAACCUACGGCCCUGCGAUUCCGGUGCAGCGCUCUAACCACAGACAUCUUAUAUACACUAGAUAGUGCAUCUAAAUAUUCUGUAAUUCAAAAAUUGAAGCUGUGAUUGCAGUCUCAGGUCGUUCCCAUGAAAUGAGGAGAUUUGUAUGUUUUUUAUUUCUUAAACAGGGAACUUAAACAUUAAGUUAACCCUAUUCCAAAUACGUUUUUAAAGUAUUCAAAUGAUGAAAGUAAUUGUUGUUUUUAAGCGUUUAUUAGCAAGUGGGAACGACCAACAUGGCCGCCAUCUAUUCAAAUGGGGGUAACCGCUGGAAUAUUCUUGGCUUCAAUUUUAUUAAAAGAGAUGCGCUAUCUAGUGUAUAUAACAUAUCUAUGGCUCUAACCAACUG